AUGUUCCUGCCACUCCCCCGCCACAGACCCUUUUGGACAAAUGACAAGAGACGGAAUAGGAGGCCCCAGUCCUGGCACCCGACGUCCAGCUUCACAGCCCGCCUGGAGCUAAGCCCAGGGGCCAUCUCCGUGGGAGGGGAGGAGACCUGUGCUGCGUUCAACGCGAACGCCGCAGUCUCUAAGGAGACAGGUAAAUCUCCGGAUGCUGCGAUCGGAUUGCUGAGGGAGAUCCGCUUCCGAUGCCUGCCUCCUGGCUCCUCCGAGGGGAACUUUUCACUGCUUAUUGCUGCUGCCACCAUGCUGGCUUCCUGGCCCACAUGUGGACCAAGAUUCUAUUUUUGAUUCCCUGCAACACACCUGAAGGGAGAAUGGAGCACAAAGUGCCCAAGAGUGGUCUAAAGUAUUGGAAAUUUCUCAAAUCCAUCCUGGCGAGGAGAAGAAGAAGAGGAGUAGAAGGAGAUGCUCCAAAGUAGAAGACCAUGGUGGACAAUUUCCAACUAAGAUCCUUAUAGCACAAGCACCAUUGCAUCUAAAUGAACUCCUCAGCUCUGCCCAAAAUCAACCGUAUGGGAUUGGCCUAUACAGCCAAAAAAGAGUAUAGAACAGCUAUUAAAAUAUAUCUUGCUAGCUCAUUGUCAGGUUAUUGCUUCCCAAACAGAGGAUCGCAACCAGGCUUUGUGUGAAUCUCUGGACGUUAACCAAGAAGUUUGGCUCUGGCCAUUAAAAAGAAUUCUCUGAUGACUGCCCCGAAAUGAAGAGGCAGACAGCAAGUUGAAUGGAUUGCCUGCUCUCUAGUGUGUGUGGACUGGGACACAAUCGAAUCUAAGUUUAUUGUCCCCCCAUGGCUUACCUGGCCACACGUGUCUGUGGAAAUGGUUUUCCCA
rnacentral:lncRNA from 1 species